GCCUGGCUAGCUCAGUUGAUAGAGCAUGGGACUCUUGAUCUCAGGAUUGUGGGUUUGAGCCCCCAGCUGGGUG
rnacentral:tRNA from 2 species